rnacentral:rRNA from 1 species
UACGGGGGGGGCAAGCGUUAUCCGGAUUCACUGGGUUUAAAGGGUGCGUAGGUGGGCAGGUAAGUCAGCGGUGAAAUCCCCGAGCUUAACUUGGGAACUGCCAUUGAUACUAUCUGUCUUGAAUACCUUGGAGGUGAGCGGAAUAUGUCAUGUAGCGGUGAAAUGCUUAGAUAUGACAUAGAACACCAAUUGCGAAGGCAGCUCACUACACGGUCAUUGACACUGAGGCACGAAAGCGUGGGGAUCAAACAGG